CCCACUUGACAUAAAUCCCCAUUACAGAGAUUCAUCGAUCCAUCAGAGUCGAAGGACAGCACAUCUGAAACAUAUAAUUAGCAUCUUUCUUUCUGAUUCUAAGCUUAGGAUUACCUUUUUCCCACAUGUGACUUUCUUUUAAGAGAGAACGUGCUGGUAGAACUGAUGCUAGCAUCUGGUUUUGGUUUUCUGAGUAUGAGGCAUGUGAGAUCUUAGCUACCCAACCAGGGAUGGAAUCCCAUACACACUUCAUUGGAAAGUGAAAUCUCAGCCACUGGACCACCAGCAGGACUGCUAAAAUUCAUCUUGGAAACCUGUUGUGAGGGUUGGAAACUGCGCACAAUGACUACAGGAGUACCUGACAUCGAAGGGGGUCAUUAGGUUUCUAGUUGGAAUUGGACUAGGAUAAGCAGGUCAAGCUCUAAUACUUCCAUGACCAGAAGGCACGCUAUUUGCAAGUGUGGGAUGAAUUUUUACCACAAAAGUACAAUGCACAAAGCAGAGAAAGGAUCAAGUGAAGAUGCAAGAUCACACAUCUUAAAGGAGUCUGAGUGCCAUGGUGCUGAAGGCCAAAUGCAUUCUAAGUUUUCGUCUCUACCUCUCUUAAGGUGAAUAUUCUGUAUUGCCAUUGUGAACAUUAUAACAAACAGAAACCACGAUUUAAAAGUUGGGAAGCCAGAAGGGGGAGCUGCCAUGCCCUGCAACAAUGGAAGUGUCCAAGAGGAAGAAGAAAGACUUCCUGCCUGACAAGAGCUCAUCCAUAAGAGGCUGUCACAGUAAGUCAAUGGAAAGCCACUACACACUUUGAACUCUAAAUUUUCCCAGAGGACUCUUUUCUGCUCCCCACCCCCGCCCCACCAUCCUUUUACCCUCUUUAAAAGAGUUCUCCUCUCCUUACUAUGAGGGGAUUUACAUACGGUUCACCUUGGUUGCAGAUUCCAAAAGGCAAUUCUUGGCUGAUCUUGAAUAAAUCUAUCUUCUGCUGGAG
ensembl:lncRNA